UAAUAUUUUAUCUAAUAUACAAAUAGUUUUAAACGUUUGGAAUAUUAUAAAUUGGAUCCGCAAAAAUAUAAUUAAUAUAAAUAAUAGGCAUUUAUUGCCGUUCGUGGCCGCCCUGUCGUUUAUUUUCGUUUUGUCAUUUCUUUUUAUAUAUAUAUAUAUAUUAUUUCCGCCGAUAUGCGGGGGUCGGCUUAUAUAUAUUAAUGUUUUUGUUUAUUAAAAUUAUUUCUUUUGUAAAUUUUAACCGGCCUCGGUGCUCUAAUACAUUUACUAUAUUUGGUCGCGCGUGGUUAUUUUAUUUUUUGGUCCUGUUAUCGAAAUAUAUAAAUAUAAAACACGUAAUAAUUUUGCGUUGCGCCGUCGCGGGUACGCGAACUAUUUUUUUAUCCGUCAUUAUAAAAAAUCUUAGUAUAAUAUUUGCAACGGGUCGGCAACGUUUGAAAAUCGGUUUAUUAUUAAUACGGGCGUUUUUUAACGAAUUUCAAACGCGUUUAGGGUGUUAAUAUUUGUUAUAAAUUUCAACGGUUCCUACGUCGGGUUAUUAUAAUUUUAUUAUUUUAUUAAUAUUUGGCGGCCGCCCCUUUUUUUCCUGGGAUCGUUCGCGGCCAAAAUCGUUUUUACUAAUUUCAGUGUUUAAUUUCAACCCCGGCUGCGGAAGGGAUCGAGCGCUUUAUAUACUUUACCAGCCAUAUGGGCUUUCAACCAAUUAUAUUGGUCGAAAAGAAACCGUUCGUUUUGAUUUAAGGACAUUUUGUCGAUUUUAACCGCAUAUGGAGGUAGGAUGCAAAAUAUACGUAUUGUAUACGCACAGUACAGGUAAAAACGAUAUAAUUAAAAUAUUAUGCAUUUUAUAUAUUUGAAUAAAAAGUCAAAUAAUAAACCUAAUAAAAAAUAUAAAAAUGCACAGAAGGUACCAUUAUAUAAUAAAAAACUUAAGGUUCUUACCGGUAUUUUAUUUUAUAUUUUGCCGCUUAUAUUGGCCGGGCUAUCAACCGUUUUACCUAUUUUAUUUGUAUUUUUACUUUUUAUUCUAUAAACGAAUAUAUAUACGGUAAAAAUUAUAAUUUGUAUUUGAAAAUAAUAUUUACAUUUAUUUAUAAAUAUAAUUAUUUUACUAUUGUUUCUAAAAUAUUUAUUUAAAAUUUUAUAAUAAAAAAUAUAAA
rnacentral:sRNA from 1 species